rnacentral:rRNA from 1 species
GGUCACUGCUAUCGGAAUUCGACUAAGCCAUGCGAGUCGAGAGGGGUAAGCCCUCGGCGGAUUGCUCAGUAACACGUGGAUAACCUACCCUUGGAAGUGGGAUAACCCCGGGAAACUGGGGAUAAUACCGGAUAGGUCAUAGACGCUGGAAUGCCCUUUGGCCUAAAGCGCAAGCGUCCAAGGAUGGGUCUGCGGACCAUCAGGCUGUUGUCAGUGUAAAGAACUGACAAACCUAUAAUGGGUACGGGCACUGAGAGGUGGAGCCCGGAGAUGGGUUCUGAGACAUGAACCCAGGGUCUACGGACCGCAGCAGGCGCGAAACCUUUGCAAUGCGGGAAACCGCGACAGGGGGACUCCGAGUGUCUGCACCUAGUGCAAACUUUUCUGAUGCCUAAAAAG